UGAACGCUGGCGGCGUGCCUAAUACAUGCAAGUCGAGCGAACAGACGCGGAGCUUGCUCCUCUGACGUUAGCGGCGGACGGGUGAGUAACACGUGGAUAACCUACCUAUAAGACUGGGAUAACUUCGGGAAACCGGAGCUAAUACCGGAUAAUAUAUUGAACCGCAUGGUUCAAUAGUGAAAGACGGUUUUGCUGUCACUUAUAGAUGGAUCCGCGCCGCAUUAGCUAGUUGGUAAGGUAACGGCUUACCAAGGCAACGAUGCGUAGCCGACCUGAGAGGGUGAUCGGCCACACUGGAACUGAGACACGGUCCAGACUCCUACGGGAGGCAGCAGUAGGGAAUCUUCCGCAAUGGGCGAAAGCCUGACGGAGCAACGCCGCGUGAGUGAUGAAGGUCUUCGGAUCGUAUAACUCUGUUAUUAGGGAAGAACAAAUGUGUAAGUAACUAUGCACGUCUUGACGGUACCUAAUCAGAAAGCCACGGCUAACUACGUG
rnacentral:rRNA from 1 species